UACGGGGGGGAGCAAGCGUUGUUCGGAUUUACUGGGCGUAAAGGGCGCGUAGGCGGCGUGACAAGUCACUUGUGAAAUCUCCGGGCUUAACUCGGAACGGUCAAGUGAUACUGUCGUGCUAGAGUACAGAAGGGGCAACUGGAAUUCUCGGUGUAGCGGUGAAAAUGCGUAGAUAUCGAGAGGAACACCUGCGGCGAAGGCGGGUUGCUGGGCUGAUACUGACGCUGAGGCGCGAAAGCCAGGGGAGCGAACGGG
rnacentral:rRNA from 1 species